rnacentral:rRNA from 1 species
GCAUGUGGUUUAAUUCGAAGCAACGCGAAGAACCUUACCAGACCUUGACAUGGUGUGUAUGAAUUACAGAAUCGUAAUUCUUCAGUUCGGCUGGCACACACACAGGUGCUGCAUGGCUGUCGUCAGCUCGUGUCGUGAGAUGUUGGGUUAAGUCCCGCAACGAGCGCAACCCUCAUUUUUAGUUGCCAUCAGGUUAUGCUGGGCACUCUAAAAAAACUGCCGGUGAUAAGCUGGAGGAAGGCGGGGAUGACGUCAAGUCCUCAUGGCCCUUACGGUCUGGGCUACACACGUGCUACAAUGGUGGUGACAGUGGGCAGCAAUGCUGCAAAGCAAAGCUAAUCCCAAAAAACCAUCUCAGUUCGGAUUGGACUCUGCAACUCGAGUCCAUGAAGUUGGAAUCGCUAGUAAUCGUAGAUCAGCGUGCUACGGUGAAUACGUUCUCGGGCCUUGUACACACCGCCCGUCACGCCAUGGGAGUUGGUUUUACCUUAAGCCGGUGCGCUAACCGUAAGGAGGCAGCCGUCCACGGUAGGGUCAGCGACUGGGGCGAAGUCGUAACAAGGUAACCUA